UUUCUUUGAUGCAUCUAACACACAAAAUAGAUUAAUAAUAAAUUAUUUCUCCCUAUUUUCAGCAUCUAAAGCAGAAGACCCUCCUCCCCCUACUCCUAAGGAAAACGUACCACCAGCUGAAGUCAAAACCGUAUCCAUUCCUCAACCAGUUUAUUCGCGCAGGCAUAGAAGUAGGAGAGGCUCUGACUGUGAAAGCGAAUUGUCAAGGUGCUCAGGUAAAUCUCAUCAUAGUCAUCGUAGACCAAGACAUCGUAGUAGAAAAACAUCGCACAGUGAUAGAGAAUCCUCAAAGCACAGCAAUUACCAGUUGGUUGAGUCCGAAAGUCAGUGGAAAGAGGUCCAAAGGAGACGUGGUGAGGGUUCUGAGAGCCUAGCAACAGCGAGCGUCAGUCGGCCACGUUCUUCAGGACAUCACAAUAGCGGCAUGGAAACGGAGAGUGAGAGAUCGUACCAUCAUCAUCAUAGGAGAAAACAUCGCAAGCAUCGAUCCCGCUCACCAUCAUCAGAUAAAUCUUCUCGAUUGCCAGACGAACUUAAGCAGCAUCUGGAAUUCUCAUUAGUUGAGACUGAAGGAAUGAGUGAGUCGCAGCUUAAGGAAAUUCCAUACAAAGUGGUCGAGACAAAUACUGCCAAAUCCGCUUUGCGAGUGCGUUUGUCACCCUCAAAUAAACGGAAAUUAGCUCCACGGAGGACAAAAAGCAACAACUCACUUAAAGACGGGCCUCCGAGUAAUGGCGACAGUCCACCGCCUCCAUACAGUGAAAGUCCUGUCUUGUCUGAUCUCAACAAAAACAACAGCAAGUCCAACUCCCAGCUGCCCAGGAUACCAGCAAGGAGCCAGCCAUCGCGGCCACCGUGCUCUGCAUUGUAUGGAAACCCAGGGACUCUCUUGGGCCGUACCCCAUUUUUGCAUGGCAGUCAAAACAGUGUUGAUCUCCUUGACCAUUCAGCGUGGAACUCGACCCCAAAACGAUCGGACCAUUCACCUCAAAGCUCUCCUUACAAUUCAAUUGGCUUGCCUCUGCCGAACCAACAGAAGAUUUGGUCAAGUCCUGAAGUACGAGGAACCGUUGGACUUCCCUGGCCAUCCAUCAUGGAAGGCUUUUACCAACCUGGUGCCAAGUCUAUGUCAAACGGCUAUUACCCAAGCAACUUGUACAAUAACCAACAGCUCGGUGAACCUAUGAGCGCAAAUCAAAACAUUCUGGAACAUGGCCUUCGCAAUGUCCAACGACCCAGCGAUACCUCCAUGCAGCGGUCCUCCUCCAUAAACUCAGGCCUCAACAAACAAAAAGAAGGCCUCCCCAGUUCGCUUUCGAACCAUUCAGGCCGAUUCACACGGGGCUGUGCUGUGGAAACGGGUGUGUUGGGCAGUCAUACAAUCACACCCAAUGGCAGUAUCGCAUGGCCCAACUCUAACAAUAGCAUGCGGGGCAAACUUCAAGAAAAGCCAGAGCUGCGCGAAAGGCAGGAGCCAAGAAAUGUUAAUCGAAGUCCUGCGUUAGCUCAGAGACUCAAUAGCUCAGGGAACGUAAACCACCCUCCUCCUGUGCCAAGUCCUGAAAGUAAACAGUAUGUUACCAACUCUUUCUCCACUGAUCUGCUCAAUUGGAACUAUCCAAGCCCAAACCAACCCACUGCCAAGAUGUUCGGAACGGAAAGUGAUUCGACAAAUGCUAACAGUUGGAACUAUCCAAACCUCUCAAACCACACAACUCAGGUUCGAAUUGGAAUUUGA
rnacentral:lncRNA from 1 species